rnacentral:rRNA from 1 species
CCUACGGGCGGCAGCAGUGGGGAAUAUUGCACAAUGGGGGAAACCCUGAUGCAGCGACGCCGCGUGAGUGAAGAAGUAAUUCGUUAUGUACAGCUCUAUCAGCAGGGAAGAAAAUGACGGUACCUGAGUAAGAAGCCCCGGCUAACUACGUGCCAGCAGCCGCGGUAAUACGUAGGGGGCAAGCGUUAUCCGGAUUUACUGGGUGUAAAGGGAGCGUAGACGGCAGUGCAAGUCUGGAGUGAAAGGCGGGGGCUCAACCCCCGGACUGCUCUGGAAACUGUAUGGCUGGAGUGUAGGAGAGGUAAGUGGAAUUCCUAGUGUAGCGGUGAAAUGCGUAGAUAUUAGGAGGAACACCAGUGGCGAAGGCGGCUUACUGGACUGUAACUGACGUUGAGGCUCGAAAGCGUGGGGAGCAAACAGGAUUAGAUACCCCUGUAGUC